rnacentral:tRNA from 1 species
GGUUCGUUGGCUCAGUUGGUAGAGCACAUCGUUCACAUCGAUGGGGUCACUGGUUCGAGUCCAGUACGGACCACCA